GGGGGGGGAGGGGGGCGAUGGAAACUGAAGCUGGAACUCUUCCUAACCGAACCGCUGCAUUUACUACUCCGCAUUUACUACGCAGCACGCAAAUCUUCAAAAGAAGAAACGGAUGUUACCAAAGCCGAAAGGAACCCCCCACGUCUGGACCUCCGUGGCUUUGUGCAACUGUUCCCUCCGGCCACCACCAGGGACAAGGGCUGCCCCGGCCCUCAGCCGCGAGCCUGUCGGCCGCCUCGCCUUUGCGGGGGCAUCAAGUCCCCGGGACUGCGGCUGGACCACCACCGCGCGCCGCGGGGACAGGGGCUGGCGGCCACCGCGAUGCAGAGGCAGGCGAGCUCCGAGCUGGUCCAGCCGAGCUCCACACCUGCCAGUCGCGGUCGCCCGGCCUCCCUUCUCCUAGGGGCACUUCCGCGGGGUUCUGGCCAGGGCGCGUCUGGGCAGGACUGGUGGCCAGGCGGGGACAGGGAGGUCCGCCCCAGGAGACCCCAGAGGGGGGCGCUCCCUGCGCAGACCCGAGGGGCAACAGGUGGCCCCCAGCCCUGGUCUCUCUCCCCCCACCCCCAAAGGUCCUCAAAGGCCUUUCCGAGGGGCCCCGCCCCAUCCCCACUCCACCCCGCUCCGCCCCCGCGAGGAGAGGGCGCAGAGACCUACCCCCGCUGGUUGGCGCGGGCAGGUCCCCUGUGGGGCCGCACGGAUUCCGCCGGCCCUGCUCCCGCCCUUAGACGGCGGCUCCGGCUCCCCGAGGGCGCACGAGGUCCGGCCCGCUGUCAGGGUGUCGGGGACCGAGGCGUUUCAAGGAAACAACCCUGGAGAGCAAGUCACCCUGCACUGGGUCCUGGAUGGACGACCCCGGCGCACGGUCACCCUGGAGGAGCCGGUCUCGAAGCUAGACAUGGGGCUGGUGGCCUUGGAGGCUGAAGGGCAGCAGCUCCUGCUCGAGCUGGAGAGGAACCACAGGCUGCUGGCCCCGGGAUACACAGAAACCCACUAUACCCCAGAUGGGCAGCCAGUGGUGCUGGUCCCCGACCACACGGACCACUGCCAUUACCAUGGACGUGUGAGGGGCUUCCCUGACUCCUGGGUAGUCUUCAGCACCUGCUCUGGGAUGAGGGGCCUGAUCACACUGGGCAGCAAUGCCAGUUAUUAUGUGCAUCCACGGUCAGCUGGAGACUCCGAGGACUUCAUCACUCACAAGAUGUUCCCAACCAGGCAGCUGCUCAGCUGGAAAGGGGCCUGCGGCCACAGGGAUGCCGGGAGCAAAGGGGACAUGGCCAGCCUUUCUCGUGCCACUCAGAUCAAGGAGAAGAGGGAGGUCCGCAGGAGCCCGAGGUUCUUGGAGCUGUACAUAGUGGCUGACCACACACUGUUCUUGACCCAGCACAGGAACUUGAACCACACCAAACAGCGACUCCUGGAGGUGGCCAACUACGUAGACCAGAUUCUCAGGACUCUGGAUAUUCAGGUGGCACUGACUGGCCUGGAAGUGUGGACAGAGCAAGACCAGAGCCAUAUCACGUCAGACGCCAAUGCGACGCUCUGGGCCUUCCUGCAGUGGCGCCGAGGGCUGUGGGCACGGUGGCCACACGACUCCACGCAGCUGCUCACGGGCCGCGCCUUCCAGGGCGCCACUGUGGGCCUGGCGCCCAUCGAGGGCAUGUGUCGCGCUGAGAGUUCAGGAGGCGUGAGCACGGUGAGCUCCACCCGGGACAGGAGCGGGGGGAGAGGGACAGGAGGCAUCCCCGCAGCCCCCAGUGACGCAGUGACCGUCCCUACGCCCUCCCAGGAUCACUCAGAGCUUCCAAUUGGCGCAGCAGCCACCAUGGCCCACGAGAUAGGUCACAGCCUUGGCCUCAGCCACGACCCUGACGGCUGCUGCGUGGAGGCGGCGGCUGAGCAAGGCGGCUGCGUCAUGGCCGCGGCCACCGGGCACCCGUUCCCACGCGUAUUCAGCCCCUGCAGCCGGCGCCAGCUGCGCGCCUUCUUCCGCAAGGGGGGCGGUACGUGUCUUUCCAACGCGCCGGACUCCAGGGUCCUCGUGCCUCGGGCGCGCUGCGGCAACGGCCUCGUGGAGGACGGCGAGGAGUGUGACUGCGGCCCCAGCCAGGAGUGCCCGGACGCCUGCUGCCUCGCCCACAACUGCUCGCUGCGUGCGGGAGCCCAGUGCACACGCGGGGACUGCUGCGCGCGCUGCCUGCUGAAGCCGGCUGGCGUGCUGUGCCGCCGAGCUGCUGGCGACUGUGACCUCCCAGAGUUCUGCACGGGCACCUCCCCCUACUGCCCCCCGGACACUUUCCUACUAGACGGCUCUUCCUGCGCCAGCGGCCGGGGCUACUGCCGGGAUGGCGCGUGUCCUACACUGGAGCAGCAGUGCCAGCAGCUCUGGGGGCCUGGCUCCAGCCCAGCCCCGGAGGCCUGUUUCCAGACUGUGAACUCAGCAGGAGACGCCCAUGGAAACUGUGGCCAGGACCGCAAGGGUGGCUUCGUGCCUUGUGCCCAGAGGGAUGCACAGUGUGGGAAGCUGCAGUGCCUGGGUGGGGAGCAGCGCCCACUGGCACCACACACGGUACCGGUGGACUCCACGGUUGGACUAGGCAGCAGCGAGGUGACCUGCAGGGGAGUCUUCCUGUUGCCUGGUGUCCAGCUAGACCUGCAUGACGUGGGCCUGGUAGAGCCAGGCACCCAGUGUGGCCCUAGAAUGGUGUGCCAGGACGGGAGCUGCCAAAACACUACCUUCUGGGAGCUGGAGCGAUGCCUGACAGCCUGCCAUGGCCAUGGAGUUUGCAACAGUAACCAUAACUGCCACUGUGCUCCGGGCUGGGCUCCGCCGUCCUGCAACAAGCCAGGGUUUGGUGGCAGUGUGGACAGCGGUCCUAUACAGCCUGAAAACCACAAGGCCUUCCUGCUGGUGGUGAUCCUUAGCUUUCUGCUGCCUCUGCUCCCCGGGGCCAGUCUGGCCUGGUGCUGCUACCGACAGCCGGGAUCCCGUCUCCAGCAAUGCCUCUGCGGCUCAAGGAGGGGUCCUGCAUGCACUGGGCCCAAAGAUGGCCCACACCAGGACGCUCCCCCUAGGAGCGUUCACAGGAUGGAGUCAGGCCCAGCAACCACUGAAGAGCCCGGACUCUGGGUUACCUUGAGGCCCCUGUCCCCACCCUGCUCCAGAGACUUCUGCCUGUGGUCACAACAUUUGUCCUCCACCCAUUGCUUCAGACCUUAAGAACUCUGCCAGAGCCCAAGAGCCACCUUGAGAAGCCUCUGUCCUGUUGCCUUGCCUGCAACCCCAAGCAGGUCAAGUCUAGAAGCCAAGAUCCUGUCUCUGGUGAGAGGGGCUCCUGAGAUGAGGAUACUUACAGACAGGCGACUGCUGACAGCCACUACAAGAACUUGGUCUCCCAGGGGCAGAGCCAGUGAAUCACACUUCCUGCACUUUUGCAGCCUGCAAGUUUCUUCCCUGAGUCGAGCUCUGCCCCCACCCACUUCAGGACCCCGGAGCCUUAUCAGAAGAUGCCCAAUGCUGCCCCAUUCCCUAUGGCUGGGGGGAUCCUGGUAGGGUAUAUAUUCCAGCCCAAGAAUCUAUCAGUCCAAGGAGCAAAGGUCAUGUAGUCACUGACGUCCUGUCACCAGGGGAGGCUGGGUCAUUCUGGGCAUUGGGAGAGGUCUCUAUCCAGGGAACUUGGGUGUCUCUGCAUAUGUAUUUUACCUAGACCCAGCUCUGCAGAAUCCAGUGAAUGCUGGGCCAGAAGCCUGGGCUCCAGGGGCCCUACAUUUCAGAUUGAGUCUACUUCCCUGGAGCCUGGCCCUUGCAAAAACAAAACAAAACAAAACAAUCCACAAAAUCCUUGGGAUCCUCCUCCCUCCCUUUUCCUGCCGUGUCCUCCAGAUGCUUCCUCAGCCUCACCUCUGUUAUCAGUCCUCCACCUGAGGUUUUGGAGGAGUGUGGUUCUGCUGUAGCCCUCUCACUUUGGACAUUACCCAGCCUUCCCUCCAUUCCAUGGGAGGGGACAGUGGGAGCUGUUUUAAAAAGGAUACCAAAGUAGAAGUCAGAAGAAAGAUAUGCUGACCUCAAGCUUCUGUGAGUCUUUUCUGUAUGUAAAUUCAUCCCCAUUGGGGCUCCCUGAGGGUCCCAAGGGGUGGUGGCUGGUGGGUGGAGCCUCAGAUGGCAGCUGUGGCCCCAGAUGGACCUGGGCAUAGGACAGUGUUGCCUAGCUUGAAUGAUCCCUUUGCCCUGUCUAUUCUGCCUCCCUUGGAAGUUCUCAGAAGUCACUUAUUCUCUCCCCAUUCUUCAUGAAAGAAUUGCUGAGUGAUCUUCUGUAUCAGCCAGCUGUUGCUGCAUAACAAAACCACCCCCAAACACAGUAGCUUAAAAUAACCAGUUCUGUGAAUUGGUAAAUUAGGUUAAACUCAGCUGGUAGUUCAUUUGGGCUCAUAUGUUUGCAGUCAACUUCUGGCUAGUUGGGCAAUUCUGCCUCUGGGUUUGGCUACCUAUUGCAUAGACUGAUGAGGAAGAAUAGACUAUGUACCCAUAGCUUGUUCACAUGACAGCUAAGGAGGGUUCUAAAGAGCAGGACCAGGAUUAGGGUAAGGCAAGUGAUGCACUUGAGCACACACACAAAAGGCAAUCAAGAUAAAUAAGAUCUUUUUUUUUUUUAAUUUUUUUUCAACGUUUAUUUAUUUUUGGGACAGAGAGAGACAGAG